rnacentral:rRNA from 1 species
UACGAAGGGGGCUAGCGUUGUUCGGAAUUACUGGGCGUAAAGCGCGCGCAGGCGGUAUCCAAGUCAGUGGUGAAAGCCCGGAGCUCAACUCCGGAAUGCCAUUGAAACUGUUUGGCUAUAGGAGCGAGAGAGGUGAGUGGAAUUCCCAGUGUAGAGGUGAAAUUCGUAGAUAUUGGGAAGAACACCGGUGGCGAAGGCGGCUCACUGGCUCGUAUCUGACG